AAGGAUGUCAACACAUUCACUCUUGUUUAUGGCCUCCUCUGCUUUCCUCCCGUCAUCCCCCCUCAAUCCCCAGUCUUGAGGAUCCAUGACAAAGCUAAAGUAUACCCUUCAGUUCUUUCAAGGUUACAGUUUGUUAAAGAAACGAGGAAACAUGGGGAGGGAAGAGAGAAAAAGUCUGUCCUCCUUGAACAAAAGAGCCUCUCAAAGAACCAAUACACAAGUUCAACAAAUCUAAUCCUAACCUAAUGUUUAGGAGAGUUUUCCCAGUCCAACCUUGCGGCCAACAAGAAAGCAUGGUACAAAGCUAAACAUACUGAACUCCCUCAACCGUUCCUCAAAGGCUUGGAUCCAGACACUUGACCAUCUUGAUCACCCUCCUCUGCACAAGUUCCAGCUUGUCAACAUCCUUAUUCAAUUGUGGAGCCCAGAACUGGACACAGGA